GACAGAGGGUGCAAACGUUGUUCGGAAUUACUGGGCGUAAAGCGCAGGUAGGCGGUUUGAUAAGUCUGUUGUGAAAGCUCCCGGCUUAACUGGGAGAGGUCAACGGAAACUAUCAGGCUAGAGUGUGGUAGAGGUAGCUGGAAUUCCCGGUGUAGCGGUGAAAUGCGUAGAUAUCGGAAGGAAUACCUAUGGCGAAAGCAGGCUACUGGACCAUCACUGACGCUGAUCUGCGAAAGCUAGGGGAGCAAACAGG
rnacentral:rRNA from 1 species